rnacentral:rRNA from 1 species
AGUAACGCGUGGGUAACCUGCCUCACACAGGGGGAUAGCAGUUGGAAACGGCUGAUAAUACCGCAUAAGCGCACAGUACCGCAUGGUACAGUGUGAAAAACUCCGGUGGUGUGAGAUGGACCCGCGUCUGAUCAGCUUGUUGGCAGGGUAACGGCCUACCAAGGCAACGAUCAGUAGCCGACCUGAGAGGGUGACCGGCCACAUUGGGACUGAGACACGGCCCAG